GACGAACCGUGCGAACGUUGUUCGGAUUCACUGGGCUUAAAGGGCGCGUAGGCGGCUCGCCAAGUCAGGGGUGAAAUCUUUCGGCUCAACCGGAAAACAGCUUCUGAUACUGGCGGGCUGGAGGGAGGUAGGGGCAGAUGGAACUUCCGGUGGAGCGGUGAAAUGCGUAGAUAUCGGAAGGAACGCCGGUGGCGAAGGCAGAUCUCUGGGCCGUAACUGACGCUGAGGAGCGAAAGCGUGGGGAGCGAACAGG
rnacentral:rRNA from 1 species